UUUCGGCAGCACAUAGACUAAAAUCCUGUGUAUACUAAACGAUAUAGGGAAGAUUAGUAUGGCUCCUGCGCAAGGAUGACACGCAAAUUUGUGAAGUGUUCCAUAUUUAA